GAUUACUAUUCUAAACCAAAUCACACGCGUCUUCACCGGCGAUUAGAUCUGGAGCUCUCGUCCCUGGUUCAGAUGUCGGAUGAUGAAGACGAUGGGUGAUCGUGAUGGUGACACCCAGAGCUAGAAGGCCACGAGGAGUUCAAUAUGAGAUGUGUGGGACUUGAUAAAGCUUGGAGAUUAUGUUAGUGCAAGGGACGAUGUCGAUACCUCUAGGAUAGGGAUUGCUGGUUAAUCACUCGGAGGUAUUAUAGAUCAUGAUUGCAUCAUGAUACUGGAUUAAUACAUAGACUUCACUUUUAGAAAAUUUAUCUUUUUUAUUUGGAGCUGAAUACAGGAAUGCAU